AUUGAACGCUGGCGGCAUGCCUUACACACGCAAGUCGAACGCGAAAGGGGGGCAACCCCCGAGUAGAGUGGCGGACGGGUGAGUAAUACAUCGGAACGUGCCCAGUAGUGGGGGACAACCUCGAGAAAUCGAGGCUAAUACCGCAUACGACCUACGGGUGAAAGCGGGGGACCGCAAGGCCUCGCGCUAUUGGAGCGGCCGAUGUCCGAUUAGCUAGUUGGUAGGGUAAAAGCCUACCAAGGCAACGAUCGGUAGCUGGUCUGAGAGGACGACCAGCCACACUGGGACUGCGACACGGCCCAGACUCCUACGGGAGGCAGCAGUGGGGAAUUUUGGACAAUGGGGGCAACCCUGAUCCAGCCAUGCCGCGUGCGGGAAGAAGGCCUUCGGGUUGUAAACCGCUUUCGGCCGGAACGAAAUCGCCGGGGAGAACAUCUCCGGUGGAUGACGGUACCGGAAGAAGAAGCACCGGCUAACUACGUGCCAGCCGCCGCGGUAACAC
rnacentral:rRNA from 1 species